rnacentral:rRNA from 1 species
UACGUAGGGUGCAAGCGUUGUCCGGAUUUAUUGGGCGUAAAGAGCUCGUAGGCGGUUUGUCGCGUCGGAUGUGAAAACCCAGGGCUCAACCCUGGGCCUGCAUUCGAUACGGGCAGACUAGAGGUAGGUAGGGGAGAAUGGAAUUCCCGGUGUAGCGGUGAAAUGCGCAGAUAUCGGGAGGAACACCGGUGGCGAAGGCGGUUCUCUGGGCAUGUCCUGACGCUGAGGAGCGAAAGUGUGGGGAGCGAACAGG